GUGCUUACUUUGGCAGCAUAUAUACUUAACUUGGAUCGAUACAGAGAAGAUUAGCAUGGCCACUGUGCAAAGAUGACAUGCAAAUUUGUGAAGCAUUUCAUACUUUA